rnacentral:rRNA from 1 species
GCAGUAGCCGCGGUAACACGGAGGGUGCAAGCGUUAUCCGGAUUUAUUGGGUUUAAAGGGUCCGUAGGCGGACUUAUAAGUCAGUGGUGAAAGCCUGUCGCUUAACGAUAGAACUGCCAUUGAUACUGUAAGUCUUGAGUAUAUUUGAGGUAGCUGGAAUAAGUAGUGUAGCGGUGAAAUGCAUAGAUAUUACUUAGAACACCAAUUGCGAAGGCAGGUUACCAAGAUAUAACUGACGCUGAGGGACGAAAGCGUGGGUAGCGAACAGGAUUAGAUACCCCAGUAGUCCCUGUCUCUUAUAA